UGGUGGAGCGAUUUGUCUGGUCAAUUGCGAUAACGAACGAGACUCUAGCCUACUAAAUAGUUCGGGGACCCCCACAAAGGGGCCCCGCUUCAACUUCUUAGAGGGACAGGUGGCGUUUAGCCACACGAGAUUGAGCAAUAACA
rnacentral:rRNA from 1 species